GACGAACGCUGGCGGCGUGCUUAACACAUGCAAGUCGAGCGGUAAGGCCCUUUCGGGGGUACGACGAGCGGCGAACGGGUGAGUAACACGUGGGUGACCUGCCCUCCAGCUCUGGGAGUAAGCCUGGGAAACCGGGUCUAAUACUGGAUAUGACUCCAUGACGCAUGUUGUGGGGUGGAAAGCCUUGUGCGGCUGAGGAUGGGCCCGCGGCCUAUCAGCUUGUUGGUGGGGUGAUGGCCUACCAAGGCGACGACGGGUAGCCGGCCUGAGAGGGCGACCGGCCACACUGGGACUGAGACACGGCCCAGACUCCUACGGGAGGGCAGCAGUGGGGAAUCUUGCGCAAUGGGCGAAAGCCUGACGCAGCGACGCCGCGUGAGGGAUGACGGCCU
rnacentral:rRNA from 1 species